rnacentral:misc_RNA from 1 species
UUUUUUUUUUAAUAAAAAAGACUGUCAUUAGACACUUCUGUGACACUCACAAUAGCAGUUGGAAGGAAGAAUAACUCGCAAAAUGCAUAGUACUAACAAGAAUUACUACUCUAUCAUACUAAAGAAAGUGCUUUCAGACAGCUAACUUAUUUUUGUGAUUACAAGUUCAACCACGUAUUCCUCGCCUCUCUCUCAGCUCCGGGUCCCUCUGAAUAUGAUCAAGAAUAAGGAGCCUCGGUCCAGGAGGGAUUUUGACAUCUCUAAGAGCACUAUCAGUCAGCAAUGGCAAAGUGCUGUCUGUCAACAACCCUUUCUUGAAAUUCUUCUCAUAAUUCUGGAGUCCAAGAUUAUUAAGCAUGGUUCUUGUUCUGGCAUAAUAUAUAUCUUCAGCUGGUGGUUGAGAGAAUUUUUGCCCCAACUGGAAAAGCCCACCUUGAACAAGUGCAAAAAAAAGUCCAGAAGUUAUUGCAUUUGCAGCCUGAUUUGGUCCACCCACGCCACUCACCAAUGAAAACAUAGCUCCGGAACCAAAAGCUGCUACCAUGCUGGACUGAACAUCCUCUUUGCCUCUCAAUCUUUUCAGGACACAGGAUAUGCCAGCAUUGACCCCCGUCAUGACAGCAAAGUUGCGAGCUUGUACCAAGGGACCCCCAGAUAGAGCCUGGGCUUGCUGGAGAGAGGCCAUAGCCUGAGGGUUUAAGGAGGCCUGAGGAGGAGGAGUCGGGAGAGAGGAGGAGACAUCGUUGGUAAGGGUACCCAUGAAAGCACCAAUAGCGGCACCCUGAGCGGCGGAGGUGCCAGUGACGACAAAGGCCUCAACGGGCAAGGACUGCUUGGACAACCAGGACUUGAAACCAUUCUCCAAUUCCUUGAACCGAAGUUGCAACUGCUCAAUUGGAUUCUGAUUAGGCAUGAAUUUAGCCACCAUAACUCCCUGUUUCCCCUGCUCCAUUUCUAAGCCGCUUUGCGGAUGGGAUGAUGGAUAGCAGAAGGAAAAGAAUGAAUACCUACU